rnacentral:rRNA from 1 species
ACGAGGGGAGCUAGCGUUGUUCGGAAUUACUGGGCGUAAAGGGCGUGUAGGCGGUACCAUAAGUCAGAUGUGAAAGCCCUAGGCUUAACCUAGGAGGUGCAUUUGAUACUGUGGAACUAGAGAUCGAGAGAGGUAAGUGGAAUUACGAGUGUAGAGGUGAAAUUCGUAGAUAUUCGUAAGAACACCAGUGGCGAAGGCGACUUACUGGCUCGAUACUGACGCUAAGGCGCGAAAGCGUGGGGAGCAAACAGG